rnacentral:rRNA from 1 species
UACGUAGGGGGCAAGCGUUGUCCGGAAUUAUUGGGCGUAAAGAGCUCGUAGGCGGUGUGUCGCGUCGGCCGUGAAAACCUGUGGCUUAACCAUGGGCUUGCGGUCGAUACGGGCAUCACUGGAGUUCGGCAGGGGAGACUGGAAUUCCUGGUGUAGCGGUGAAAUGCGCAGAUAUCAGGAGGAACACCGGUGGCGAAGGCGGGUCUCUGGGCCGAUACUGACGCUGAGGAGCGAAAGCGUGGGGAGCGAACAGG